GUUAAGUUAGUUUAAGUCUAAAACGUCAGCCUGUGGAUUUGAAAAAAGGAUUAGCUCCUACUUAACC
rnacentral:tRNA from 1 species